AUGUUUGCUCACGGACACUUCCUGCAGAAACCAACGCUGGCCUUAAACGGACUCCUCUCAGCCUUGUGCUGUUUGGUUUGUGUGAACGGUUUGCUGGUCUCAGGUACCGGUUGUGUGUGUGUUGGUCUCAGGUACAGGUUGUGUGUGUGUUGGUCUCAGGUACAGUUUGUGUGUGUGUUGGUCUCAGGUACCGGUUGUGUGUGUGUUGGUCUCAGGUACAGGUUGUGUGUGUGUGUUGGUCUCAGGUACAGGUUGUGUUUGUUGGUCUCAGGUACAGGUUGUGUGUGUGUUGGUCUCAGGUACAGUUUGUGUGUGUGUUGGUCUCAGGUACCGGUUGUGUGUGUGUUGGUCUCAGGUACAGGUUGUGUGGAUGGUUUGCUGGUCUCAGGUACAAGUUGUGUGUGUGUGUUGGUCUCAGGUACAGGUUGUGUGUGUGUUGGUCUCAGGUACAGGUUGUGUGUGUGUUGGUCUCAGGUACCGGUUGUGUGUGUGUUGGUCUCAGGUACCGGUUGUGUGUGUGUUGGUCUCAGGUACAGUUUGUGUGUGUGUUGGUCUCAGGUACCGGUUGUGUGUGUGUUGGUCUCAGGUACAGGUUGUGUGGAUGGUUUGCUGGUCUCAGGUACAAGUUGUGUGUGUGUGUUGGUCUCAGGUACAGGUUGUGUGCGCUGGUCUCAGGUACCGGUUGUGUGUGUGUUGGUCUCAGGUACAGGUUGUGUGUGUGUUGGUCUCAGGUACAGUUUGUGUGUGUGUUGGUCUCAGGUACCGGUUGUGUGUGUGUUGGUCUCAGGUACAGGUUGUGUGUGUGUUGGUCUCAGGUACAGUUUGUGUGUGUGUUGGUCUCAGGUACCGGUUGUGUGUGUGUUGGUCUCAGGUACAGGUUGUGUGUGUGUGUUGGUCUCAGGUACAGGUUGUGUGUGUGUUGGUCUCAGGUACCGGUUGUGUGUGUGUUGGUCUCAGGUACCGGUUGCGUGUGUGUUGGUCUCAGGUACCGGUUGUGUGUGUGUUGGUCUCAGGUACAAGUUGUGUGUGUGUGUUGGUCUCAGGUACAGGUUGUGUGCGCUGGUCUCAGGUACCGGUUGUGUGUGUGUUGGUCUCAGGUACCGGUUGUGUGUGUGUUGGUCUCAGGUACCGGUUGUGUGUGUGUUGGUCUCAGGUACCGGUUGUGUGUGUGUUGGUCUCAGGUACCGGUUGUGUGUUUGUUGGUCUCAGGUACAGGUUGUGUGUGUGUUGGUCUCAGGUACCGGUUGCGUGGGCGUAGCUGGUUCGCUCCUGUUGGCGAGAGGCUUCGUGGGCGUCCUGACCCCCUGGGGAGCAGCAGAUGCCCUCUGCCGGCCUCAUACGUGUAGCAGCACGUCAAUAGAGACGACAAGUCAAAUCCGCUGA
rnacentral:lncRNA from 1 species